CGGUGACAUUUCGUUCUCUUUUCUUUCAUUGUCAGAUUGAAAAUUUCUUGAUUGAAUAAUUGUAUUAAAUUUAGUUUGACUCGUGAAAUCAAAAUGUGUUACGAAAGCAAAGAAAAAAAUGCAUAUUUCGUCGCAUAUUUUGCGCUAACCUAUUCGUUUGUGGACAUGAUUUUUCAAUUCAUAAAACAAUCUGAACAGUGGUUUUUGGUGAUUUACAUUGUGACCAGUUGUGUGGUUAUCCUAGCCGCCAUUGUUCUGAUCGUAGGAAUUCAUUAUGCAAGAAAAGAAGUUUCUUGUGAUGGUAUGGAUCGUGGUAGCGAUCGUGUGCGGAGUCAUUUUUAUCGCUGCAUACAUCAUACUUCUAACGAAACUUUCUGAAACGGCUGACAUUGUUAAGACCUCAGUGCAAAUUUCCUUCCGCCUCGUGCUUUUUUCACUUUGGCUUUGGAUAUCAAUUGUAUACUAUCGGACGCUCUGACGAUACCGAUUAUGAUUAGGAAUGAAAUUUUUGUGAAUUUUUGUAUUUAAUAAAUUAUGAAGUGCUCUUUCGUCUGAA